UCCCGGAGGCAGACGCCAGCGAGAGCCCUCGGGAUGCUGCUGCUCCUGCUCCUGGUCCUGGCUGCAGCCUGGUCUUAUGGACAAGCACAAGUGCGCCUGAAGCAGAGCCAAGUAUCUGUUACCAGAGAGUCAACUAAAACUGCACGGAUAGAGUGUGUAGCCGAGGGCAUAUCCAACUUCCAUUCUGCAUAUAUACAUUGGUACCGGCACAUACCCUCCAAACCUCCUGAACGGAUUCUGUAUAUUGGAUCAGGUGCAGCUUCUUUUGAUGACCAUUCCCACACAAACAAGUAUUCUUGUUCAAAGACAGGAACAAACGUCUGCAUUUUCUCAAUCAAGGACAUCAACUCAAACGAUGAAGGUACCUACUACUGUGCCUACUGGGAGUAUCACAGAACUAGCGGACCACAGGCAGUCUGUACAGAAAGCUGCCUGCACCCUGAGCGGCAGGCUUUCUGUCAAAUGCAGAGAACCACAGUUGUACCUUCCUGCCUCUAAAACAUCCCAACAGGUUCAUGCCGAAUAUGUAAGUAUAAAUAAUGGCCAGAGUGAGCAGCAAAGAAAUGCAGCGUGCUACCACUCAGCAGGUACAACGUGCUGCGCUGGGGAAAAGGAGAACUCCGGUGGGUGAUGGUGUUACAGAUGAGUUGUACAGUAACACAGAUUGCCUUUGAAUAAUAUAGAUACUUUCCCAGAUAUGGUCUGAGCUAAA